rnacentral:rRNA from 1 species
UACGAAGGGGGCUAGCGUUACUCGGAAUUACUGGGCGUAAAGGGCGCGUAGGCGGCAUGUUAAGUCAGGCGUGAAAUUCCCGGGCUCAACCUGGGGACUGCGCUUGAGACUGUUGAGCUAGAGGAUGGAAGAGGGUCGUGGAAUUCCCAGUGUAGAGGUUCAAUUCGUAGAUAUUGGGAAGAACACCGGUGGCGAAGGCGGCGACCUGGUCCAUUACUGACGCUGAGGCGCGACAGCGUGGUGAGCAAACAGG